rnacentral:rRNA from 1 species
AUUGAACGCUGGCGGCAGGCCUAACACAUGCAAGUCGAGCGGAUGAAGGGAGCUUGCUCCUGGAUUCAGCGGCGGACGGGUGAGUAAUGCCUAGGAAUCUGCCUGGUAGUGGGGGAUAACGUCCGGAAACGGGCGCUAAUACCGCAUACGUCCUGAGGGAGAAAGUGGGGGAUCUUCGGACCUCACGCUAUCAGAUGAGCCUAGGUCGGAUUAGCUAGUUGGUGGGGUGAAGGCCUACCAAGGCGACGAUCCGUAACUGGUCUGAGAGGAUGAUCAGUCACACGGAAACGAAAAGCAGGCCCGGCCCCCUGCGGGAGCCGACAGGGGGAAAUUUGGAAGAAGGGGCUAAGGCUAUACCCAGCCAUGCCGUGUGUGGAAGGAGGGUCUUGGAAUUGAAAACCACUUUAAGUUGGGAGGAAGGGAAGUAAGUUAAUACCUUGCUGUUUUGACGUACCCAACAAAAAAGGCACGGGAUGACUUGGUC